GGUUUUCACACCCGGAGUGGCCACAGCGGAGCGGGCGAGUCGAUCCUAAGCUGCGGGGCGGUGGUGCGUGUCCAGCCGGCCACUGUGGAGCAGCGCGCGGCUGGGAGGUAAACAGAGGAGAGGCGUCUGUCUGCAGACUAGUGCGGCGACCGGUCCAGCCUAUUCAAAAAGAUGCCAAUGUUUGCUUCUUUCAUACCACAACGGCGAGUCCGAUGGGUCCGUUGAUGACCCAGUUGGGUAUAGGGUUGUCGUUCCUCUCCCAGCACCUGUCAAUCAAAAUGCGCUUCGGUUGGAUGGGCCGAACGUGCGAGCGAGCGUGACGUCAGCAUGCCUGAGACGCAGCGGUCUGUCACUCACCCCGUGUCCUCCAGGUAAAUUCUGGUCAGAACCCACGUCAACACAAACACGCUCGGGAUGCCUGCGCCAUUCAGGGAGCAAAGCCGGUACAGUAUUAGGGUGACCUCACCUCUGCCAAAUUGGAUUUUAGACCUCCACUCAUGAUGUCAUUGAACAUAACGGAAAGACUUGGGUUCAAUUCAUUGGCUAGUGUGGCGCUCCUUCCAGUGUGUACAUUAUGGCCACCAGGGGGCAGCGAUGGCAGAAGACGCUCACAGCGUUUUAGGAAGUUGCAGUAAUACUGUAUUAGGAAAGUGCUUCUUUGCAGAGGACAAAGAAAAUAUGCAUGAGUGAUCGAGUGAAUCCACAAUUACCAAUUGGCGAGGAAACAGCGUAAUAUGAUUAGAUAAGGCAAUGCGGAUAAACGAAGGAACGUGAUGAGUCAUGUGGAUGCAACCCGUAUAUUUUUGUGUUUGGAUGUAGUGAUGCGUUUUACCCCAUCCGAUGAGCAUGUAGACGGCAAAGUGUGUGUUUUGCGAGAACAUGGCCACCAGGAGUGUGUGGAGGUACAAGGCCUCCACCAGCAGCCAGAAGAAAUUGGCCAUGAUGAAGUACUGCAACAAUAUUAAGCUGGCUCGACACACCACCUGACACACACAGGAUUAAUCAGGCCGUGACGCUUAUUGGCAUCAACGCUCAUCACCAGACAUCUCAGCGUUCCCGUCGUUCAUUCCUUGGCACAAAGACGAACGAUUUGGCUGAGUGUACCCAGUGAAAGGCGGGGUGUACCUAAUGAAGUGUCUCACCAGGGAGGGCUGCGCGCCGCAGUGCGCCGCACGGCCGAACAAGAGGUGGUCCUUCACCAGCACGGCGGCCGCCCUCAGGAUGAAUGACAGGAACAGGUUCAGGUGGAUGGAGUUCCUGGUGCAGCGCAGCUU